AGCAGAAUUAAUGCAUUUGAUUUAGGGUCAUAAGAUGGUUUAUAACCA
rnacentral:tRNA from 1 species